rnacentral:rRNA from 1 species
GAUGAACGCUGGCGGCGUGCCUAAUACAUGCAAGUCGAGCGAACUGAUUAGAAGCUUGCUUCUAUGACGUUAGCGGCGGACGGGUGAGUAACACGUGGGCGACCUGCCUGUAAGACUGGGAUAACUUCGGGAAACCGAAGCUAAUACCGGAUAGGAUCUUCUCCUUCAUGGGAGAUGAUUGAAAGAUGGUUUCGGCUAUCACUUACAGAUGGGCCCGCGGUGCAUUAGCUAGUUGGUGAGGUAACGGCUCACCAAGGCAACGAUGCAUAGCCGGCCUGAGGGGGUGAUCGGCCACACGGGGACUGAGACCAGGGCCAGACUCCUACGGGAGGCAGCAGUAGAGAAUCUUCCGCAAUGGACGAAAGUCUGACGGAGCAACGCCGCGUGAGUGAUGAAGGCUUUCGGGUCGUAAAACUCUGUUGUUAGGGAAGAACAAGUACAAGAGUAACUGCUUGUACCUUGACGGUACCUAACCAGAAAGCCACGGCUAACUACGUGCCAGCCGCCGCCGUAACAC